rfam:Stegodyphus mimosarum contig70829, whole genome shotgun sequence.
GGCUUCGUGGUGUAGUGGUCAGCACGCCCGACGCGUAACCGAGAGGUCCGUGGUUCGAUUCCCGGCGAAUGCG